rnacentral:lncRNA from 1 species
AUGAGUUGUACAAUGAAGAAGAUCUUUGCUGAUGCCAAAACUCUUGUUGAAAUAUCAAAAGACCAUGACAAUGCAGAAAAAGUCUCUUUAUGAGCAAACCGCAGCUUUCCAGAGCAGUUCAAGUUAUCAGCUUUGGGAUUCAUAAUGAGCAAGUACUGAGAACAAAUGUUGAGGGCUGAAGAGUUAGCUAAAAAGAAGGCUGACCUUGGUAGAAUCAUGAAAUUUAACAAACAACAUUCCAAGGUAUUACAAGCCCACGUUGACCUGAUAACUGAAAUAGCAGCAGUAAUGAGGAAAGCCACUGAGAUUGGUGAGCAUCAAGGUUGCAUGAGAUAGGAAGAAAAGAUUUCAGCUUAAACAGAAAAUCAAUGAUUUGAGAGAAAUCCUUCAAAUAAUGGAAAAUCAUGAUCUCAAUCAGCCCACAUAAAUGAUGCUCUCAAAAGCUGGUUUUUGAAAAUGCGUAAACAAUGGUCAUAGGAUUUAUUCUUAUUAAAAGAUCA